GACAGAGGAUGCAAGCGUUAUCCGGAAUGAUUGGGCGUAAAGCGUCUGUAGGUGGCUUUUCAAGUCCGCCGUCAAAUCCCAGGGCUCAACCCUGGACAGGCGGUGGAAACUGCCAAGCUGGAGUACGGUAGGGGCAGAGGGAAUUUCCGGUGGAGCGGUGAAAUGCGUAGAGAUCGGAAAGAACACCAACGGCGAAAGCACUCUGCUGGGCCGACACUGACGCUGAGACGCGAAAGCGUGGGGAGCGAACAGG
rnacentral:rRNA from 1 species